UAACCAUAGAUUGGAGCUAGAACUCUUUAUUAUACUAAAAAUAGAGAAACCAGAUCAUCUUUGCCGAAAACAAUAGAGAAAACAUCAACCCACUCACACACAGAUCAGAGACAACGGCGUUUGGAACCCUGAAAAUUUAAAUAGUUACCUGAAAAUUUAAACAGAUCAGAGACAAAGUCGCAGCUGGUGAUGCUUUGUGGAUGGCGGCUUGUGGCUGGCGCAGAUGGUUUACGGCGGGUGAGCUGGGUAUAUGCCUGGUUUACGGCGGCUUGUGAAGGUUUAGGGUAGGUGAGAUGGGAGAGAGAGAGAGAAAGAAAGACUGUGAGAGAGAGAGAUCGAGAAGAAGGAGAUCGAGAGGGAAGAGAUCGAGAGAGAGGAGAUCGAGAGGGAUGAGAUUGAGAGAGAUCGAGGGAGGCGGAGAGAUCGAGCGGAGAGAUCGAAUUAGGUCUGAAUCCUGAUAAUAAAAGGGUGAGUGACAGUGAGGGUCGAAUUCUAAUAAUAAAAGAGACCGUAAUCACAGUAGACCAACGGUCCGGGCCGGGGGCCCGUUUUCUCCAAUCUUUAGAACCGGCCCGCCCCGUUAUUUAUCUGGAACCGGC
rnacentral:lncRNA from 1 species